rnacentral:rRNA from 1 species
GCGAACCUCGCCAACGAACGAUCGGACAUGGGAUAACGGAAGAGGGCGUCGGCUCGACUUCGUCGGUUCCUCGGGCCGAGGCACGUACGGUGGAAUAGGGGACGGUCGGGGCCGCCCGUACCGGGUCGUGAGAGGUGAAAUUCUAGGAUCGACCCGAGACGAACCGCCGCGAAAGCAUUCGGCAAGGACGCUUUCAUUAAUCAAGAACGAAAGUCGGGGGAUCGAAGACGAUCAGAUACCGUCGUAGUCCCGACCGUAAACGAUGCCGACCGAGGGCCCGGAGGAGUUACGUACGACCCUCCGGGCCCUCCCGCGAGAAAUCAGGAGUAUUCGGGUUCCGGGGGGAGUAUGGUCGCAAGGCCGAAACUUAAAGGAAUUGACGGAAGGGCACCACCAGGAGUGGAAUCUGCGGCUUAAUUUGACCCAACGCGGGAAAACUCACCAGGUCAGGACACGGUAAGGAUUGACGGACUGAAGGCUCUUUCUCGAUUCCGUGGAAAGUGGUGCAUGGCCGUUUUUGGUUGGUGGAUCGAUCCGUCUGGUUAAUUCCGUUAACGAACGAGACCUCGGCACUCCGAAUAGCGCGGCGGACGUCGCGGCCUCC